UUGAGAUUGAUGAGGAAAUGUAAGUAGAUUUAAAAACAUACUUUAAGAGAGCUGUAUAUGGUGUGAUUCAGUAGUGAUGUUUAAAUUGAAUGGAUUUCUGAGAUUUAGAAAGAAAAUUAGUAUUUCUAAACGUUAGUUCCACGUUAUAGGAACAGGAUAUUUAUAUAUCUUUAUUUGAGAGAAAACUUAGUUUUCUAAAAUUUAGGUGGUACCGCGUGUAUUUUCGCCCUAAAC
rnacentral:ncRNA from 1 species